rnacentral:rRNA from 1 species
UACGUAGGGACCAAGCGUUGUUCGGAUUUACUGGGCGUAAAGGGCGCGUAGGCGGCAAUUCAAGUCAUCUGUGAAAUCUCCGGGUUUAACUCGGAACGGUCAGAUGAUACUGCUUUGCUCGAGUGCGGAAGGGGCAAUCGGAAUUCUUGGUGUAGCGGUGAAAUGCGUAGAUAUCAAGAGGAACACCUGAGGUGAAGACGGGUUGCUGGGCCGACACUGACGCUGAAGCGCGAAAGCCAGGGGAGCAAACGGG